CUGUGUCCUUCGACGCCGGUUCACCGCCUGUCGGUGCCAACUGGCGUUUUGCAGGACGUCCUGUCGGUGGUGUGCCAGGGAAUCUUUGUUGUGCUGAGCUCCGCUCAGUGCAGCUUUGGUUUCGGGCCACUUUCAUAAUCCCGCCGCGGUGCUCUUAAUCGAGUGUCGAGGCGGGCCGGCACGUUUACUUUGAACAAAUUAGAGUGCUUCAAGCAGGCUUGACACGCCUGUAUACUGUGUGCAUGGAAUAAUGGAAUAGGACCUCAGUUCUAUUUUGUUGGUUUCCGGAAUCUGAGGUAAUGAUCAAUGGGGACAGGCGGGGGCAUUCGUAUUGCGACGUUAGAGGUGAAAUUCUUGGAUCGUCGCAAGACGGACCGAAGCGAAAGCAUUUGCCAAGUAUGUUCCCGUCGAUCAAGAACGAAAGUUAGAGGUUCGAAGGCGAUCAGAUACCGCCCUAGUUCUAACCAUAAACAAUGCCUGCCAGCGAUCCGCCGGCGUCCCUCCGAUGACCCGGCGGGCAGCUUCCGGGAAACCAGAGCUUUUGGGUUCCGGGGGAAGUAUGGUUGCAAAGCUGAAACUUAAAGGAAUUGACGGAAGGGCACCACCAGGAGUGGAGCCUGCGGCUUAAUUUGACUCAACACGGGAAAACUCACCAGGCCCGGACACCGGAAGGAUUGACAGAUUGAUAGCUCUUUCUUGAUUCGGUGGGUGGUGGUGCAUGGCCGUUCUUAGUUGGUGGAGCGAUUUGUCUGGUUAAUUCCGAUAACGAACGAGACUCUAGCCUACUAACUAGACGUAUCUGGUAUCAGCAAUUGUGCUACCAGCGAUUACACUCUUCUUAGAGGGACAGGCGGCUUCUAGCCGCACGAGACUGAGCAAUAACAGGUCUGUGAUGCCCUUAGAUGUCCUGGGCCGCACGCGCGCUACACUGAAGGAAUCAGCGUGUCUUCCCUGUCCGAAAGGAUCGGGUAACCCGCUGAACCUCCUUCGUGCUUGGGAUUGGGGCUUGCAAUUGUUCCCCAUGAACGAGGAAUUCCCAGUAAGCGCAAGUCAUAAGCCUGCGUUGAUUACGUCCCUGCCCUUUGUACACACCGCCCGUCGCUACUACCGAUUGAAUGAUUUAGUGAGGUCUUCGGACCGGUGCGCGGAGGCGGUUUACCGCUCCCGAUGUUGUCGGAAAGAUGACCAAACUUGAUCAUU
rnacentral:rRNA from 1 species